GUCGAACGAAGUAAGUUGCUUCACCAAGUGUUGAAUAGAUACCCCAAGCGCAUUUGCCAAAGGGUAAGCGAAAAGUACUAUCAAUUAAAUAAAAUGGUGAAACAAAAGAAUAGCGAAGAAGAAGCAAAUGCGCUUCACGCUAAUUCCAAGUACUAACACAAAACAAAUUCAAUGUUUGGUGAAGCAACUUGCUUAGUGGCGGACGGGUGAGUAACGCGUGAACAAUCUGCCCCGUACAAAGGGAUAGCCUCGGGAAACCGGGAUUAAAACCAUAUAACACUUAACUGCCGCAUGGUAAUAAAGUCAAAUCGAGUAAGAGGUAUGGGAUGAGUUCGCGUCUGAUUAGCUAGUUGGUGAGGUAAGGGCUCACCAAGGCGACGAUCAGUAGCCGGCCUGAGAGGGUGAACGGCCACACUGGAACUGAGACACGGUCCAGACUCCUACGGGAGGCAGCAGUGGGGAAUAUUGCACAAUGGAGGGAACUCUGAUGCAGCGACGCCGCGUGAGUGAAGAAGGUCUUCGGAUCGUAAAACUCUGUCCUUGGUGAAGAAAAGGACGGUAGCCAAGGAGGAAGCCCCGGCUAACUACGUGCCAGCAGCCGCGGUAAUACGUAGGGGGCGAGCGUUGUCCGGAUUUACUGGGCGUAAAGGGUGAGUAGGCGGUUAUAUAUGUCAGGUGUAAAAAGCUAUGGCCUAACCAUAGUAAGCACUUGAAACUGUAUGACUUGAGUGC
rnacentral:rRNA from 1 species